rnacentral:rRNA from 1 species
GAUGAACGCUGGCGGCGUGCCUAAUACAUGCAAGUCGAGCGAACAGAUGAGAAGCUUGCUUCUCUGAUGUUAGCGGCGGACGGGUGAGUAACACGUGGGUAACCUACCUAUAAGACUGGGAUAACUCCGGGAAACCGGGGCUAAUACCGGAUAAUAUUUUGAACCGCAUGGUUCAAUAGUGAAAGACGGUUUCGGCUGUCACUUAUAGAUGGACCCGCGCCGUAUUAGCUAGUUGGUAAGGUAACGGCUUACCAAGGCGACGAUACGUAGCCGAGCUGAGAGGGUAAUCGGACACACUGGAACUGAGACACGGUCCAGACUCCUACGGGAGGCAGCAGUAGGGAAUCUGCCGCAAUGGGCGAAAGCCUGACGGAGCAACGCCGCGUGAGUGAUGAAGGUCUUCGGAUCGUAAAACUCUGUUGUUAGGGAAGAACAAAUUUGUUAGUAACUGAACAAGUCUUGACGGUACCUAACCAGAAAGCCACGGCUAACUACGUGCCAGCAGCCGCGGUAA